rnacentral:misc_RNA from 1 species
GAUGAAGAACGUAGCGAAAUGCGAUAAGUAAUGUGAAUUGCAGAAUUCAGUGAAUCAUCGAAUCUUUGAACGCACAUUGCGCCCGUCAGUAUUCUGGCGGGCAUGCCUGUUCGAGCGUCAUUACGCCCCUCAAGUCCCCUGUGGACUUGGUGUUGGGGAUCGGCGAGGCUGGUUUUCCAGCACAGCCGUCCCUUAAAUUAAUUGGCGGUCUCGCCGUGGCCCUCCUCUGCGCAGUAGUAAAACACUCGCAACAGGAGCCCGGCGCGGUCCACUGCCGUAAAACCCCCCAACUUUUUAUAGUUGACCUCGAAUCAGGUAGGACUACCCGCUGAACUUAAUCAUAUCAAUCAGCGGAGGU